UACGUAGGGUGCGAGCGUUAAUCGGAACUACUGGGCGUAAAGCGUGCGCAGGCGGUUCGUUGUGUCGGCGGUGAAAGCCCCGGGCUUAACCUGGGAAUGGCCGUUGAAACUGGCGAACUGGAGUGUGGCAGAGGGGGGUGGAAUUCCGCGUGUAGCAGUGAAAUGCGUAGAGAUGCGGAGGAACACCGAUGGCGAAGGCAGCCCCCUGGGCUAACACUGACGCUCAGGCACGAAAGCGUGGGGAGCAAACAGG
rnacentral:rRNA from 1 species